rnacentral:rRNA from 1 species
GAUGAACGCUGGCGGCGUGCCUAAUACAUGCAAGUCGAGCGGACUGACGAGAAUCUUGCUUCUCUGAUGUUAGCGGCGGACGUGUGAGUAACACGUGGAUAACCUACCUAUAAGACUGGGAUCACUUCGGGAAACCGGUGCUAAUACCUGAUAAUAGUUGCAACCGCAUGUUUCAAAAGUGAAAGGCGGUCUUGCUGUCACUGAUAGAUGUAUCCGCGCUGCAUUAGCUAGUUGGUAAGGUAACGGAUCACCAAGGCAACGAUGCAUAGCCGAUCUGAGAGGGUGGUCGGACCCCCCGGACCUGUACCAAGGCACAGACCAGUACGGGAGGCAGCGGUAGGGAGACGUACGCAGGAGGAGGGAUGCAGGCGGAGCCCCGCCGCCCGAGUGAUGAAGCUAUUCGGAUAUUAAAGCUCAGCUACUAGGGAACAACAUAUGUGUAAGUAACUGUGAACAACCUGACGGUACCUAACCAGAAAGCAACGGCUAACUCCGUG